rnacentral:rRNA from 1 species
AAACCAGCACCUCAAGUGGUCAGGAUGAUUAUUGGGCCUAACGCAUCCGUAGCCUGCUUUGUCAGUUUUCGGUUAAAUCCAUACGCUCAACGUAUGGGCUGCCGGAAAUACUGCAAAGCUAGGGAGCGGGAGAGGUAGACGGUACUCGGGAGGAAGGGGUAAAAUCCUUUGAUCUCUCGAUGACCACCUGUGGCGAAGGCGGUCUACCAGAACACGUCCGACGGUGAGGGAUGAAAGCUGGGGGAGCAAACCGGAUUAGAAACCCGGGUAGUCC